rnacentral:rRNA from 1 species
CGAGGGGAGUGAAAAAGAACCUGAAACCGUGUACGUACAAGCAGUGGGAGCACGCUUAGGCGUGUGACUGCGUACCUUUUGUAUAAUGGGUCAGCGACUUAUAUUCUGUAGCAAGGUUAACCGAAUAGGGGAGCCGAAGGGAAACCGAGUCUUAACUGGGCGUUAAGUUGCAGGGUAUAGACCCGAAACCCGGUGAUCUAGCCAUGGGCAGGUUGAAGGUUGGGUAACACUAACUGGAGGACCGAACCGACUAAUGUUGAAAAAUUAGCGGAUGACUUGUGGCUGGGGGUGAAAGGCCAAUCAAACCGGGAGAUAGCUGGUUCUCCCCGAAAGCUAUUUAGGUAGCGCCUCGUGAAUUCAUCUCCGGGGGUAGAGCACUGUUUCGGCAAGGGGGUCAUCCCGACUUACCAACCCGAUGCAAACUGCGAAUACCGGAGAAUGUUAUCACGGGAGACACACGGCGGGUGCUAACGUCCGUCGUGAAGAGGGAAACAACCCAGACCGCCAGCUAAGGUCCCAAAGUCAUGGUUAAGUGGGAAACGAUGUGGGAAGGCCCAGACAGCCAGGAUGUUGGCUUAGAAGCAGCCAUCAUUUAAAGAAAGCGU